rnacentral:rRNA from 1 species
CCUACGGGUGGCAGCAGUGGGGAAUAUUGCACAAUGGGGGAAACCCUGAUGCAGCAACGCCGCGUGAGUGAAGAAGGAUUUCGGUUUGUAAAGCUCUAUCAGCAGGGAAGAAAAUGACGGUACCUGACUAAGAAGCCCCGGCUAACUACGUGCCAGCAGCCGCGGUAAUACGUAGGGGGCAAGCGUUAUCCGGAUUUACUGGGUGUAAAGGGCGCGUAGACGGGGCGGCAAGUCUGAAGUGAAAGCCCGGGGCCUAACCCCGGGACUGCUUUGGAAACUGCCAUGCUGGAGUGCUGGAGAGGUAAGCGGAAUUCCUAGUGUAGGGGUGAAAUGCGUAGAGAUUAGGAGGAACACCAGUGGCGAAGGCGGCUUACUGGACAGUAACUGACGUUGAGGCGCGAAAGCGUGGGGAGCAAACAGGAUUAGAUACCCGGGUAGUC